rnacentral:rRNA from 1 species
AUGGCAGGUGGCAGGCAGUCCGAAAUCAGCAUUGAUCUGACCAACAUCAACACCAUGGGUACCCAGGUACCAGAGAAUGGUUCGAGUGAAGUCAGCAGAGGUGUUUUUGGAAUUGGUACUGUCAGCAUGAGGCAACAUCCCAUCAAUGGCUCGUCCAACAGAAAUUUAUUACCCCCUGACCACGAAUCCAGCUUCAGCAACAAUGAUGAUUUUGAGCUCUUGUGGGGACAUCGUAAAUAUUUGGUACUUCUUGGAGUCCUAGCAGUUGGUGUGACAUACAAUGCUGGAUUAACACCACCAGGGGGAUCGUGGACACUAAACAAGGAUGGUCAUGAUGCUGGUGACCCUGUCAUGCAUGCUGGCUUUUCUGAACGAUAUGAGGUGUUCUUUUACUGCAAUGCAACAGCCUUCGCUGCAUCUCUUGUCUUAAUCAUCUUGCUUCUCAGUAAGAGUGUGACAAGGAAGAGAAUGUGGCUCCACGCAAUGCAAUUAACCAUGAUAUUCGACCUAUUCAGCCUGCUGGGGGCUUAUGCUGCCGGAAGCUGCAGGGCACUCAAGUCAUCCAUUUACAUCUGGGUUCUAGUCUUUGCGGUCAUCACAUAUGUUGGGAUCCAUACCCUAGUAUCCACAAGGUUUAUUCCAAGAAAAUUGAAACAGAAUCUGCAGAGAAUGAUAAAUACAGUUCUAAUCAAACGGGGUUUCCUUGUGAGGCAAGUGAGCAUCCCUCUAGAGAACGUUGAGGAGGCUCGCAAGUUCAUUUUGACGCUUGUAAUUUUUGCUGCUACUAUUACAUACCAAGCAGGAUUGAAUCCACCAGGCGGCUUUUGGGCUGAAAAUGACCAUGGUUCUAAUAAGGUGCAUAUGGCCUUUCCUCCUUACAAGCAUCAUCCGGCUACUUCUGUUCUCCGGAGUAACUACCUUGGUCGUUAUAAUAUAUUCAUCAUUUCCAAUUCAACUUCCUUCGUGGCAUCUUUGGUCAUAAUCAUACUGCUUCUGAGCCCAAAACUGAGUGGACAUGGAAUAAGGACCAAAGCAGUGAUUGUAUGUGUGGUAGUGGACCUAUCGUGCCUAAUUGUUGCGUAUGCUGCAGGAUGUUGUAGAGAGGUAGCAACAUCAUUCUAUGUGGUGUUUAUCAUCGUCAUAGUUUGGAUCUCCUUCGCAAUUUUAGCUGGAUUCUUUGUUUGCAGGCCUGUAGCAAAUUGGCUACAAAAGGUCAAAACAAGCAGCCUGUGUUGCGUGGAAAAAUUGGGCCGUGCACUUUCAUUGAGCUUUAGUAGACACAGACAUAGCAAUGCAGAGCAGGAGAAUUCUUAUGCAAGCAAUCAUCAUUCUUCAGUCCGUUCAACUGAAACACCUGCAGAAGAUAAUACCCCUGAACCACAAGACCAGCCUGCAGACAAUCAGCAACUUCCAAAUAUCAGAGAGGAUGAGUCCCAUGAGGAGCAUGCACCUGCAGAAGAAAGAAAUCAAAUUUCAGAUGAUGAAGAGGCUGUGAAUCACUCACAGCAUCUGUCAGGGAACAGCCAGCAAUCAACAAAUAUCGAGGUUGUUACGUCCAACCCGGAGUGUCCGUCUACACAUGUCCAGCAUGUUGCAAAUGAGGAGUGUCAGUCUACAGAUGUUGAGCAAAAUAUGCCGGUCAGGCAGAGUAGCGGAGACACUAGUCAUGACAUAGUGGAUGAAGGGCUUUCUGCACCUGCGGAAGCCACUGGCAAUGCAGACUCUGCUGAACAAAACAAUCUGGUUGAAGAUAAUAACCCUAGUACUGAGAUUCUUGCCAGUGAUGACCAUCCUACACAUUCUGAGAAUGUACAUACUGACAGCAAUCAAGUAGCCAACCAAAAUGCUGAUGACAUUCGAACUGAGAAGCAUCUGAAGAAGACCCGCACAUGUAUGCUGCUUCUUGCCAUUCUUGCAGUAUCUCUGGCAUACCAAUCAGGCCUGAAUCCACCAGGUGGCUUUUGGUCAAGAAGUAAAGAUUAUCAUUCAGCUGCUGAUCGCAUCCUUGAGGACACCCAUCAUCGCCGAUUCAUUGCAUUCUUCUAUCUCAAUGCAAUCGCCUUCGUGGCAUCCAUUGUCAUGAUCACUUUGCUUUUGAACAAGAUGGUGAGCGACAAGGUUACCAAACGGCGUGCAUUGCCAAUAACGAUGAUAGUGGUCCUACUUUCCCUAACCGGAGCUUUUGCUCUGGGGAACUGCAGGGAGGCAAAGAAGACUAUUUUCAUAUCAGUGCUCGUAUGCAGUGUACUUGCUUAUGUUCUCAUUCAUGUCUUGAUAGCAGUACAUAUAAUUCCUCCAGAAUGGAGAAGGCAGGUGGCAGAGAUGCUAGAGCACUCGGUUAGUCAUUUUUGCUCAGUGCCGCGUCAAUUAGGCCACAACCAGACUGGGGGUGAUACUAGUGAGAAGGAGUUGGGAAGAAGACGUAAUCUGCUAUUGACCAUUGCUAUUUUAGCUGUGACUGUCACAUACCAAGCUGGCAUGAACCCUCCAGGAGGUGUCUGGUCUGAUGACAAGGAUGCCACGGGAACUCCGGGCAAUCCAAUCCUUCAGGAUACCCAUCCAAAACGCUAUGAUGUGUUCUACUACUCAAAUUCAGUUUCAUUUGUGUCGUCUGUGGUCGUCACAAUAUUACUUGUGAAUAAGGAAUCCUGUGAGUAUGGAAUCAAGUCCUAUGCACUGCGAGUGUGUUUGGUGGCGGGAUUGCUUGGCCUCCUCAUUGCCUAUGUUGCAGGAAGUUGCAGAAAUAGUAAACAGUCCAUCUAUCUGAGCAUCAUUGCUAUGGCAGUUCUUGUCUCCCUUCUGAUUCAAGUUCUGCUCUCUUUGAUGCACGGCACACUAGGAAGACCAUUGGCUAAGUGUCUAGUAUUUCUACACGAUCUUCUCUUUCAUGCAGAGGGUGAACGAAUAAUCACUCCUGUGAGGCCAGAAUCUUCAGUUGUCGAAGAAAAAGAAGUGAGAAAGAGACACAAGUAUCUGAUGCUUCUUGCAAUUUUAGCAGCAUCGAUCGCAUACCAAGCUGGUCUGAACCCACCUGGUGGAUUCUGGUCUGAUGACGAGAGCCAUGUACCAGGCAAUCCCGUCCUUCGUGAUAUUAAUCACCGACGGUACAAGAUAUUCUUCUGCUUCAAUUCUUUCGCAUUCAUGGCAUCCAUUGUCGUGAUCCUGCUUCUGUUGAGUAAAUCUAUCAGGAAGAAGGCUGUGCCACUUGGGGUAUUGCACUUGAUCAUGAUACUGGAUAUGCUGGCUCUCAUGACAGCUUUUUCUGCGGGAAGCUGCCGCAAAUUGAGGACUUCAGUGUAUGUCUAUACACUAGUUGGCGGCGUUGUAGUAAUCCUGCUGCUCCUAAUUAUUGUGUCAAGUGCAAUUGCAAAAUAUCGGAAGGCAAGAGAGAGAAGUGGGAUUAACUCCCCGAGACGUCCUGAACCUGUUUCAGGAGCAAACACACCGGCACUACCUGAAGUUUGA